rnacentral:tRNA from 1 species
CAAGAUAGCGCAGUCGGUAGCGCAACUGAUUCGUAAUCAGUAGGUCGAGGGUUCGAGUCCCUUUCUUG